rnacentral:lncRNA from 1 species
AGAACCCUUCCGCUUCCCUUUACUUGUGGCCUUCCUGGCCAGGCUUAUGUAUACUGAACAAAGCUAGGGUGCAGUGCUUCUGAGCUAGCUGUUAGGGGUCCACAGCCAGAAGGAAUGGGAGACCACAGGAGCCAUUCAAAAGAUAAUUACAUGUCAGAAGAGAGUCCAUCCAUGGGGUUCUGUUAAAGUAGACACCUUCACGUUGGGAGACAUAGGCUUUGUCUGCUUGCUGGGCUGAACCCUCACCAUAUCCACAGAGAACAAAAUGGGGAGCAGCUGUACCAGGGGAGGGAUGAACGUCUUUCACCCAAGUUGCCAGUCUGCUAGUUGUCUGGAAAUGUUCAAGGGAGGCUAAGGUAUCUUGUCUUAUGAUGUCUCAGGAAACAGGGUUGGUUCUCAGCUGGCAGUGAAGGGGGACUGGUGUGGUAUUAGCAGUUGAACUUGAGGUUGCAAUCUCAAGUCACCCUCUGGCCUCGCAGGAAUGCACCAGGGUGAUUUGGGAGGAUCUGAGUUUCCUUUAUGAAGUCAGAUUAAAAAAAAAAAAAGCUGAUCUGAUUUAAACAGAGUUGCCAAAGACUUCCCCGCCAAUACACAAAGACUGCAUUGUUCAGGUACCCUGUGUACUCUAAGUGAGACACCAAAUCAGAUGCAGCAACCUGGUCUUGCAUAAGCCCUG